rnacentral:rRNA from 1 species
UACGUAGGGGGCGAGCGUUGUCCGGAAUCAUUGGGCGUAAAGCGCGUGUAGGCGGUUCGGUAAGUCCGCUGUGAAAGUCGGGGGCUCAACCCUCGAAAGCCGGUGGAUACUGUCGGGCUUGAGUACGGAAGAGGCGAGUGGAAUUCCUGGUGUAGCGGUGAAAUGCGCAGAUAUCAGGAGGAACACCGGUGGCGAAGGCGGAUCUCUGGGCCGAUACUGACGCUGAGGAGCGAAAGCGUGGGGAGCGAACAGG